ensembl:lncRNA
AACACACCCUUUGACUUCAGUCAUUUUAUGUUCAUUUGUAACUUUGUAAAACUCAAGUAUUUGCUCUUUGUGUGUUUAGGCUGAAGAAGAACAAUCUUGGUGCACAAAGUGAUCUCUGUAUUGCUUCAGUGGAAAACAAGGGAACUGAGCAGAGAAGGCAGGUUGUGCCAAAACUUCCCUUAACCCCAUUAGACAACCUGAUCAACCACAGGGAAGAAUCACCCAUGAUGGCUCACAGGAGGCAAAAUUUUCACCCUCAAUACAAUGAGAAUUCAUCCUUGGUGGGAAACAAACUACCUAGAUCCAAUGGUGGCAAAAUUAAGGACAAAAUUUCUCUCUGGGAAGGAAAGGAACCCAGUAAUUCAUCUACUACCUCAGGUUCUUCAGGUCAGUCUGCUAUUGUAAAAAGGACAGAAUCCCUGACAAAAAGCAACCAUGAAACUGCUGGUGAGCUGAGUGCAGAGACUUGCAGAAGAGUGACCCAAAAGGAGAAAGAAAAUCUUGUGAAAGAGACUUCAGGAAAACUUGGCGAUUCGAGGCCUUGUUCACCUGAUGAAACAGGGAAAAAGCUAAGAGAGACACUUAAGAGCAGUAAGCCCUAUGCAAACCAAAAAGAAGACGAGUGGAAUAGAGCAGUUCACAAGCAAGAUCACGAGAAAGACAAUGUGGAAAAGCUUGGGGAUUCAAGACCAUGCUCACCUACGGUGGUGGUGCAACAGCAAGUUGGGCUGUUGAGGAAGAGCAAUGACAAGAGAGCAACAGAACAAAGCAGCCAGGAGAAGAGAGCAGUUUUUUCUCUCUUUAAAAAGCUGGAGGCCAUGGGGGAGAACCAUCAGAAAACACCUCCAGAGCUUGGAAACUACUUCAGCCCUCUGACUAAGGACAAACAGGUAGAGGUGAAAAAGAAAGACUCUGAAGCCCUCAGUGUGGGGGGUGCGAUGAAAUCCGAACAUGUGUACACAGAGCCGGGAGCGCCCCCGAUCAACCCAGUCCCCAAACCGAAACGUACCUUUGAGCAUCCAGCUGUUGCCACCAUGGGGAGGAAUCCAAGACAAGUGAGAGGACAGAGGAACCUGCCUCCACUGCCCUCCAUCUCUUCCAGAUCUUCGAGACUUCCUUCUGGUGUCUAUGGGAGACCCAGAGGCGAGAGAGCCCGAGACAGCAUCAAAAGGAAAUCCUUUGAGUUCGAAGAUCUCACAGGGCCGACAAGCCCGCCCUUCUCUCACUCAUCAUCUCAGGAACAUCAUUAUGAAGACAUCCUGGAUUCACCCAAGGAGAGCCCGUAUGAGGAUAUAGAGUUAGAGAGUCAUUGCUCCCAGCAGUCUUUGCCUUCCUCCCCUGGCGCUGAUACUAACAAGGUUCCUGCAGUACAAGCUGAGCAUGAUAACACUUCUGAUUUAGAGAUUAAAGGAGAACUGAUUUUUCUUCUUAUAGGCCUCAAGGCCUGGCUUCUUCAGGCAGAACUCAGGCAGGAGCUUUAAGCUUCUUGACCUGAGAAGGACCAACCCGCCGACCCACACUGCCAGCAGCAGCGGGGGCGUUUCAUCUCCACCCCAGCUCAGCCCUCCCUCCACCCCCACUUGUCCUGAACACACCUCCUGGCUGCCUGGAGAUCUCUACAGCCGCACCUCUCGCAGGAUACCAACGGUGUGAAUGCAUUUGAAUGUUAGACCAACACCACCAAAUCUCACACAUAAGACAAAUUUCUCAAAAUUUUUUUACCUCAAUUUUUUUAUUGAC